GCUGCUCAAGACUUCACACACCUCUCCGUGGUGAGCAGUAGGCAACGAUCUAGGAUCGGCUGAGAUGUGAAG
rnacentral:ribozyme from 1 species